rnacentral:rRNA from 1 species
GAUGAACGCUGGCGGCGUGCCUAAUACAUGCAAGUCGAGCGAACAGACGAGGAGCUUGCUCCUCUGACGUUAGCGGCUGACGGGUGAGUAACACGUGGAUAACCUACCUAUAAGACAGGGAUAACUUCGGGAAACCGGACCUAAUACCGGAUAAUAUAUUGCACCGCAUGGUUCCAUAGUGAAAUACGGUUUUGCUGUCACUUAUAGAUGGAUCCGCGCCGCAUUAGCUAGUUGGUAAGGUAGCGGCUUUCCAAGGCAACGAUGCGUAGCCGACAUGAGAGGGUGAUACGCCACACGAGAACUGAGCCGCGGUCCAGACUCCUACGGGAGGCAGCAGUAGGGACUCUUCCGCAAUGGGGGAAAGCCUGACGGAGCAAAGCCGCGUGAGUGAUGAAGGUCUUCGGAUCGUAAAACUCUGUUAUAAGGGAAGAACAAAUGUGUAAGUAACUAUGCACGUAUUGACGGUACCUAAUCAGAAAGCAACGGCUAACUACGUG